UCCUGGGAUGGAAGAAAGAAUUCUGAUCGUUUGAAUGGAACUGCUGUUUGUGGCUGUGGUCACAAAGAACUUGCUUUGUAGAGAGAGCUGACCUUGGGCGUUUAUCUUGAUUUGGCAAAGACUUAUUUUGCAAGCAGGUGUUUCACCUGGGCUUUGUGUCGUGCAUUGGACAAGCGAGUGCAGUGUGCAAGUGGAAAAAGGCCUGCAGACCCUGGGGAGAAUAAAAGUAACUGUGACGUUCUCAUUCUCUGAAAUAGGAUUAAUGAUAUAUUUUGACCCAAAUUGUGGCCCUCACACACUCCAAAAUUGGAUUUAUUGCAUAUUUUGACAUGAGUUGUGAAGUUCUCACCCUCAGAAGUUGGGUUUUGCCCCUAUUAUGGCCCAAUAUAUGAUGUUCUUACACUCCAAAAUAGAGCUAAUGACAUAUUCUAACAGAAAUUGUGACACACUCACACCCUGAAAUUGAGUUUAUGAUAUAUUUUGACCAAAAUUGGCAUGGCAGAUAUCAUUUGUCCUGAAAAAACAAAUGGAUUUUUCUCAAAUUGCUCUGUUAUAACAAACUAGAGCCAGGCAGACUGAAGAAAUAGGAAAAUCUAUCAAUCAAUCCAUCAAAAUGCUCUGGCAAUCGAUGGAACUGUUGGUGCUACAGAUACCGCUCGAUUUGCCGUUUUUGUUAGAGGUUGUGAUAACAAAUAUAGCGUCACUGAAGAAAUGGCUUCUUUGGUGCCAUUGAAAGUCAAAACUAAAUCUCCGGAGCUGUAUGAAGCAAUAAAAGCAACAUUAAAGUGAUUUCUUUCUCCUUUCACAGCACCUGUGUCUCCAGCAUCCCUUCCCCCCCCCCCCCCAAGCCUUUCCACGAUUCUGUUUCCAUGAUGUCAAUGUGGAAACCUCAGCUGUGGUCUCCUGCUGCUCCAGAUGAGUGCCGAUCCUCUCCCACCACACAGUGCACACAAGCCCAGGGGGAACCUGGCCAUGGCAGCAGAACAGAUCUGCAUCCUGGAAGGGAUGUGAGGUCACAAUGCCUGCCGUGCUCGAUGAGGUCACAGUGCUCAGUGUGUGUACCCAGCUGUUCCGUGCUGGCCCCAGCACUUGCUGUGGCUGCAGCGGUGGUGGUGGCAGCAUGGCACGAGUGUGGGGGGCCGUGUCCCCCGCCCGCCUUGCUCUCCUCCUCCUACUGAUGCCAUGUGUUCCAAGGAGACUUGUGCUGCGCCGUGGCGAGCUCCAGCAGCAGGUGGGUGGGCAAAGAUGGGACCAAGUGUAACUACAGGCCAGAGGUCCAGGCUGUUGUCCCUGUGCCACACUGCCCCGGGGCUGCCUUUCUGCAAGGGUAUUGGGAAGGGGGCCAGGCAGCACCCAGGAGCCAGGUGUGGGCUGAAGCAGCGCUCCCCCAGGGCUGGCUCCAGCUAUGCCAGGCCAUGGCUCUGCUGCUGGCUGAGCCCACCCUGGAGGUGUCCUAUGGGAAAGCUCAGAAGAAGCGUGUUGGGAAAAGCGUGAGCAUUUCUGCUCUGGCUUCCCGGUGCUCCCCACAGGCAAAUCCCAGUUCCCAACAGAGACACCCAGCUGGAGCCCAGAGGAAGGAACAGGCAUCGUUUCCUCUGGUGCUUUAGUGGGAGAUCCAGCAAGGAGCUCCAGUAAGAAAGCCCUGACGGGCUGUAUACCCUUCCAUGAGGUCCCCAGAGGUGUGUUACAAGUGGCCUGGAGAGGGCAUUUGAAAAGCUGCCGAGUGCCAGGCUCCAGGUCACCCCGGUUAUUCUCUAGCUUUGGCAAUCACGGUCUGAGUCUCCCAUUCCAUUACCUGACCCAGUCCCCAGUCACUAAGGGAGAAGGCGCAACAUGCAAUGGGAACAUCUCUCAUCUGUUCUUGAUUUUAGAUGAUGAUGUUGGAGUUCCUUAUCCAGAUGUUUUGGUGGAUACUGAUUUUGUGCCUCAGGGGAAACCCAGAGGUAAGUUGUGUCUGUUUCCUGGAAGACAGAAAAAUGAGCGCUGUAAUAGUUUAUUCAGGUACUUAAGAACCUCCAAAGGUCUUUCAAGUCUCUUUGUGCCUUAAAGGCCGUACACAGAUCAGCUGAGAGUAGUUCUUUACUUGGAGAGUUGUCCCAUUUCAGUGGGAAGGCAGCCCUUGCCACUCUUUGGAGGAGAGAACCGAUGCCUUUGCUGUUUGGGCCAUGUCAUUCCCCGACCUGCUGCCAGUCUUUGCAGGUCACUGCAGAAAAACCAGGCCCCAGUGUGCAGUGGAAGCUCUCCUCACCUGUGUCUGAUCACACUUGUGCCUGCAGGCCCUCUUGGUGGAUUACCAGAAUGGAGACCUGUCCCUGAACCUGGGGUGGAUGCCAGAGGUAAGUCACCAGUCUUCACCUCAUGAUCUUUGCUCAUAUUUGGUUGUGGAAGUUCAGGAAGGGUUCAGCUUUUUGCUGCCUGGUGGUUUCUCGUCCAUGAGAAGCUUGGGCAGUCACUGUUCCUUGGGUGCUGUGUGCACCCACUGUCCCAUUGGCUUUCUCUCCAUCCAUCGGAGAUCUUUCUAGUAAGAAAACCCCAAUGUUCUUCCAUGCAGAGAGUAUCUGCAAAGCUGCUGAGUGCCAGCCAACUGCCAGCCAACUGCCCACCUGGCCCCUCUGCAACUUUCAACCCAGCUCUGGGUGCCACAUCGUCACCUGAGCCCCUUCCAGUCACUGCAGGUCCCUAAGGAAGAGAGAGAUCACAACGCACAAUGGGGAUGUUUCUCAUCGCUGUGUGAUUACCGCUGUGCCUAUAAGCAGUGCCUUGCCAAAGCCUCCAUAAUCUGGUCCAUAAGCCUCCGGGCAAUCCCACAGGAAAGGGCCUUUAGAUCUUCCCCUUCUCCUUCCACCCCCUUCUCUUCUCCAGACAGUUCCACACAGCCUAGUAGGGAGAGAAGAGUGCUAUGCAGCAGUGCUGUCAUUCCAGUUAAACCACCAUCCAGCCACAUCUGACAGGAGCUGCUCUGUCUGUGUUUGUUGACAGGUGUGGGUAGCAUUGGAUGGGAUCCAUCUUCCCUGCUGAGCUCCAGGACAGAAGCCCCAGCAGCUCCUAAGGGUAUGCUGUGAAUUUUUGCUUCCUUUGAGAGAUGCCAGCUCACAGCCCUAAUGUCAGCCAGGCACGACCCCCUGGCACCAUCUGCUCUUCAGUGAUGCGGUUCUGUAGGUUGCAGUUUGUGAUGGAAAGUUCCCAUUCUUUGGGUGCUGAAGUGCCUCCAGGGAAGGCUGUGCCAAAUACUUGGCUGCCUCCUGUGCUGGAGCCGCACAGGCAUCCCAGGAGUGGCUGCUGUCUCAUGACUUUGCUGAAAAGACCACUCAGUUCAAUACCUUGUUUGUCUGAAAUUGAUCCCAAUACUUUCUGUUCAGGUCCUGAGAGACAGAAAGAGGCGCUGGAAGAGGAAGAUACCCACAGAGGCUGUCCUAUAUGCCAAAGAAAAUCACAAAGGAGAAGGCAGCACAUGGGACUGACGCAGAGCCUGCUCACAGGGAUGCAUUUCAGCAAGGCAUCCGUCGCACACUGCCCAUCCCUCUGGGAGAAAGAGAGGCCUCGCAAGCAGCUGGCACUCCAGGUAAGGGCCGCCGGUAGAGCUCCGUGGCCAUGGUUAGAGGUUGCUCCCCUCCCACUGCACCCAGUUCCCAGGGACUUAGGAACUUUGUCCUUUUGGGAACAAGGCCACCAAAACCACAUUCAGCAGAGAUGGGAGGGAAUAGGACCCUUCAGCGUACCUCCCUCACACAGUCCCUGCAUUCCGAGCUUGCUGUGCCUCCCUUGAGGCUCCAGGCACACCAGCAGCCCGGAGCGGGGUCCAUCCUGCAAACUGAGGUCCAGAGAGAUGCACUGACUCACAGAUGGCGCAAUGGCAUAGAGGGAGCCUCCUCGUCCUUCUGCCUCCUCUGUGCCUGCACCAUGCCCAGACUUUGCCUUUCUCUCAUUCUUCACAGCGCUGUCAAAUCCCGGGGAAGCCCACCACAACUGGGUCUAUCGUUUUCUGAGGAAUCCAGGUGUGCCUGGUGCAGGACGUGCAAACGCCGAGCAAGUUAAAGUUGGUUGGAAGUUCUACCUGAUACUUGCUGGAGCUUCCUUGGGUUCCCUAUUGCUGGGGAUGCUUCUGUGCUGGCUUCUUAUUUACUGGUACAGGAACAGAAAGUGAGUUGUUGACCCCCAUCCCCAUCCUGCCCAACUCUUUACUGUAGGGCUGCUGUGGGCCAGGAGGCGUUUCUAGUUAAAGCAGCGUAAAGAGACCAGUUAAUUGUUGGCUCACACGGUCUGUGAUUGACGCAGUUAGAUGUUGUCAUUGGCUUCAGCCCAUCCUUACUGCUGGGCCAGAGACAGGCUGGGAGCUGAGGGUGGCUCUUUGCCAUGCGCUGUGAGAAAGCAGAGCAGGGGCUCUCCUGUGCCCUCAGCACGUUCCUCUCUUUGCAGGCGCCGCUGGGAAGCU